ensembl:lincRNA
UUUCACAAGUUUUGAUCCAGCGGCACUAUAUUGGGGCUUAGAAGAUGACAAUUACAUCAUGGUCUCAAAGGUGUGGAUGGUGCUGGUCUGGAGCAUCACAGAACCAAGGUUUUUAACGACUCUUUAGCAUCCCUGUAAAGCUCGUGAUGGUGCCAAGGAGUGCAGGCAGAGCAGAUGCCAAAAUUAGAGACCUCUGCCACAGACUUGGGUUCGAAUCUUGCCGCCGCCCUGACCAGGACUCUUCCUAACAGAGUUCCUCGGCAACCACGCCCCGGCCCUGAGAGUCAAGCACGGAUACCGGGUCCUCUUCUGGGAUUCUAGGCAGUGCAUCUCGCUUAGGCGCCAGGUCCGCGAUCGUGCCUCCGACCGUCGCGCGCCUCUCCACUGGCCAGCGUUGCUAUGACAGCGCCGCAGGGGGGGAUGCUGAGGCUGAGGCUCGCAGUAGCCCCUUUGUGAGGCGCGGGAGAGAUGUGCACCCCACAUCUCUUUGCUCGAGUACUGGUCCGCAAGAUGGGUGCUUGUUCGUGUGCCCCACCCCACCCCCACGCCCGAGGCCGGGUGCGGCACCUCCGCCCGCCAGCCGCUCCUGCAUUAAAAUUUCAUGGGCGCUGCAGUAAACGCGAAGACGACGCCGGCUGCGCUGGGGGACCGUAGGGAGGGAGGCUGCGGACCAGAGCGGGGAGGAGUUUGCGAGGGGAGGCGCUUGGGAGGACUCCCCCAGUUCUGUUAAGAGCUGGGCACAAAGAGCCCUUUGCACUCCAGCCGCAGGAGCGAGGAGCAGCCGAGCUAGAUGCACAUGGGCGUGGGGACUCCGGUACAACACCAACCCACAAGACCUGGGGCGUCCAGCGCAGCCUCAAACCCAGGGCAUCUCUGCACUCUCAUCGCGACGUCGCUCUGGAUGCUGUUUGCAUAUCCUUGGGGAGUCACUGCUUUGACACAACAGUACUGCGAGGUGUUGGAAUUCCAUCUGUUCUCAUCACACGGACAUGGCUGAUCUGUCUCAGUGGUACCUGGGGGCAAAGCAGGGAGCCGGGCGGUGGAGGCCAACAUUGUUACCAAGUUGGCUCUGUCUCAACACAGGGACUGAGCCUUCUGAGCCUCAAGAGUUCCUGCUGGUUCCCAGGUGGCAGAAGAGUGGAGAGAUUUGGGAAAGGUCACGACUAGCCUGCAAAGCAGCCUUGCAGAUAAGUAUCAUUUCACCAGCCUGCCUGCUCUCUGCUGGUGCGUGUGAGAAAGGGUCAGCUCUGGAAUCCCCAACGGGAGGGAAGACGGCCAUCCUGUGACUCUGGCUCUUGAAGAUGUCAUUUGCAAGCUUGAACAGGCUCCUGGGUCUUGCAGACACAGGGGGACCUCCUCAGGGUUCCUCCACUCAGGAUCCUCCAGGAACCUGGGACAGUAGGCUCUAAGAGCAGCUAUGAGAUGUCUCACCUUCCUUGGCUCGGGGUUUGGAGGACAGAUGUAGCAUGACUUUCAGGAAAGAGCAAACCUGAGUCCUGGUGUGGAAUGCAGGCACUCCCUUCUCUCUUCCACCACCCUGGUGACUUGCAGUGGUCCACACAAGCCCUGCACACUUUGGCCACCUGUUUCUUUGUUGUGGGAGUCACAGGAAGGAGGGGACUGAGGUGGGCAGAGGGCUGCUUUCAUUUCUCAACCAUGCCUUGAAUGGCCACUAUAGUUCCCUUGUGGGACAGGGCAGGGAUCAGAGAGAGGCACAGGCUUCCAGCAGCCGGGACAGUUCUAAGCUUAGAGUUCCAGAUCCCCCUCUGUCAGCACUGCUCCCCCUGUUGUCCCCUAUCUGCCCAGUUUACUUUGAGUUUUCCUGGGUCACACAAGAACCCACAAUGCUCUAGGUGACAGAGGAGGAGGCAGAUGGCUCCUGAGCCAAGGCAGGGCUUGUGCAUGGUCAUCUCCUGGGGUGCAUCUUGUGUGUGUGUGUGUGUGGGGGGGGGUAGCUCUUCUGUCUUCCAGAGUCAUCCAGUGAUGUCUGUGUGGGGGAGGAGCUAGGAGCUAGGCCUUCCAUGAUGUCGAUGAUGUCAGGUGGUGCUGCUGGGUGUCCAGGGGUGAACGCCAGAGAGAUGGCCCCACCCUCUGUGAUCUUCAAGUACGACAAUGCAUCACUACAGCUCAGCAAGCGGACAGCUCUGCGCAUCUCCAGACCCUGAUCUGUCUUGGAGCCCUGGAGAUCCCUUGGAUUCUGACCUCCUGGAACUGGGGAGCAACCUGUCUCCCUGAAGACCCUAUCCUUCCCAGUACCUGAGAUGGACCCCCCCACCCCCCGAAGAAGAGCCAUUCCUGGAAGAUGUACUACUUAGGAGUCACCCUGUCUUUCAUGGACAGCUCCAGGGGGUUGUGGGGAGGCUGCAGCUUAGAACAGGGGCGGGGGGGGGGCACCGGAGGCCUCUCUUCAUCCCAUGUGGACUGGAAUCCUCCAGUCUCUGGAAAUGGGGUGGAGCUAGGACCCCUCCUGGUCACAGGGUGGUGUCUCAAAGGACCUGUGGGUAGGGCAGGGACUCUAUAGGCUCGGAGGAGGAGCUGAUGGGGAGGAGUCCAAUGUCUGUCUUUGUCUGUUUUUCUUUCUUUCUUUUUUCCUUUUCCAUUCCUUUUCUUUUUUUGUCUGUUUGCUGCUUGAGUGAUGAGUCUGUUUGGGUGUUUCCUGGGGUGAGGCUUAGCUCCCUGCUGGUUGUGGGAAGAGGACAGCCAGCCAGUCCUGGUCUGGGAGGAGCCUGGCUAGCCCCUGUGCUAUUCAGCACAGGAAGGAACCUUGGAAAGAGAAAGGGGGCAGUCUAAGAUAAGGAGACCUAGUAGGGAGGUUCACAGGCAGAACCAUAGCCCCAGCUUCCUCCAGUCACUGGAGAAUGGGCUGCACCCAGUCAGUUACAAAGGCUUUGCCCAGGACAUGGGAGUGCCCAGCCUGUACCCCAAUCCAUAUUGCAUAGCUGCAGAGGGACAGAGGCUGGCACAUACUCCCUCCUCAGGGCCCAGUGCCCAGUAUAACCUGUCCGUUCUUCGCCUCUUGUCAUAGCCCUGGAGGAGGGUCUACAACCAGCAACGGAGCACUGUAGGCCUUCCUUGGGACAGUCUAGAAACAGGAAUCCCUUGACUGGGGUAGGGGUGGGGCAGUUGCUUAUUCUGCGUCCUGGCCUGUGGUGCUCAGCCCCAGAGACUCACACCACAGGGCUUGAGGCUGGCAAAACAAGACCAAGGUGCCAGCGGUAGCUUAUGUCUUCACGGGGUCUUUCUCUGUGUCCAGAGUGAGUGAGCGAGGCUCCAGGGAUUUGUCCAUGACAGCCUUGUCAUUUCAGGACCCAGGCUUACGAAUGACCUCAUCUGAGCUCGGUGGUCUUGUCUCUCUGUGCCUUCACAGAGGGCCUAGAGAUUCAGCCUGUGCCUCUCGGGGGAAGGGGGGACUCUGACAGGGUGGUCUCACAGACAUGAGCAGCUAGUCUCCCCUUCAGAGUUCCUCACGUAGGAAGGAACAGACAAACAUAAGAUGGGUACAGGGUUGCUGGCGUUGUGCCAGUUGUCUUAGGGACAUACACGGUGGCUGCAGCCAGUACAGAGCCAGCUCAGGUCUCAGGGUACCCUCUACAAGCCCCCUUGUCUCUACCAGCUUUGAUUUCCACAUGUCAUGUGGACCAUAUGCUCUCUUGGUGGCCUAGGCAGCUCUCAGGCAGACCUGUGCCUGACUCAGUGCUGGGCACUCAGCAGAUGCACCAUACAGUUCUGUUCAGUGGGAGUGUAGGGAGUUUAGGUGAGGGUUCAUCUGGGUUGGAUACAGUCUGAUCCAGAGGCAUUUCUGGCUGGGCCACUCAGGUCUGCCUUGCUGACCAGUCUGGGGCAGUGGCCACCUUUGGUUUCUGUUGUAGCUUACCAUGUUUUCCAGAAGGAGAUGAACCUUGUUUCCUGCUAGACCAUGGAUCCCACCAUGGUUCUUUUAUUUGUGUAGCCAUCUUGGGAAAUACAGGUGCUAUGCAGCCACACCUCAGACAUUUACAACUUUGUAGUCAUCAGAGAGAAGCUGUGUCCAGGAAGAAUUAGACAAUAGGCAGUCAAGAGAGGCCAGCUCUGGCACGAGGGAGGAAGUGACUUCCUAGUCAGGCUGACCCCCACUGGGACGUUGGAGAAUGAGAAAGGUAUGGCUUGACUGAGUGCUUUUGGAAAGAAAUUAAAGCAAAAUUCAAAUAGGUCAAAUACAGGGUAGGACUUUUCAGAGCCUCAAAGUGCUAAUGGGCACCUCAGACACUCAGGCUGGGACGGAAGAAUGAGAUAUUAUCUGUCUUUGCUGGCUACAGAAUUAUUUUCUUACCAAACAUAUAGAAUGCUGGGAGACAGCAUUAGGCUUUAGAAGUGCGCUCAGGUGUCCUAUUGUCGCCUGGGAGGAAAGAGAAGCUGGAGGGGUGGGGCUUGGGGGAGUCCAAACUUUGCUUUAGGACUCAGGCUAGGUUCCUUUGCAGUUCCUUCUUUGUAGAGGAGGCCAGUGGUGGGAGCAGCCAGAGACCCGGGAGUUGGUGAUGGAAGAGAUGUUCAUUUUCAAGGGCAGCAGCUCUGGGGGGUUGGGGGUGGUAGUGAGAUGCUGGUGUGUGUGUGUGUGUGUGUGUGUGUGCUGGUGCGCACACACAAGCAUAUGAGGAGAUCCUUCUGGGAAGAGGCUGGCCACAACCAGGCAGGGGGUUUGUACUGAGGACAAGCUGGGUACAUUUUUAGCAGAUCUGAAGUGUCUGUGGAGCUCCAAGACCCACAGCCUAGAAACGGAAGCUCUGGGCUUCCAGUAUGGGGUUCCUACGGUGGGUGUUGAUGGGGUAUAGAGGCAGACCCCCUGCCCAGGUCAGGCCCCAUGCCCACGCUGGUGGGGACAGGAGGCCUGUGGUGGGGAGGCAGAGGGCCGGAGGGGGGUUGGAAGGGGAAGGCUGCAUGGUGUGAUUAACCUACUAACCAACCCAGGGCUCGGCCAGGACGCUGUGGCACUCGACGAGAUGCCUGGCCUUCUGUCAACCGACUAAUCCACUAACCUGGCCCGAGCAUGUCCUACUAACCCCGCAGCAGCCAAACCCUACUAACUCUGCAGGCCAGGGGCCUUCCCAGAGGCUGGGACGCGGACAAGGCUCAGGAAGGCCCUGCCUGGGGGCUGGGAUCUAUGUGCAGACCCAUCCCGCGGGACAGGGUAUGCUAAGAGACUCACCAACUCUGCCGCUCCCUGCUGGCGGAACGGGACCCUUCUACUUCCCUUGAUGCCCGUGGUGAGGUGACUGAGGUGUUGCCGCAUGGCAGGGACUUCAAAAUGGAAUAAGACACGCUGAGGGCGGGCCUCGGGGGACUCGGUGGUACGUCUAUUCUCUGAUCUCGGGUGUUCUGCACACAGACCCUUCUACCUGGGGCAGACACGUGCUUUGAGUCCUUUAACGUCUCUUCCCUUUCUCCCCUCUUGCCAGCUUUCUCUCCCAUAGGCAGCUCUUUUGAUUACUAAUUGUCUAACCCUGGGGCACCCCACUCUGCACCCUGCCGCCCCUUAACUAACGGCCACCCCGCUGCCUUCUUCUCUCUAGUGGCUCCUGUGUGUGUCUGCUGAUGCUGUGCUACUAACCCGGCCCUACUAACUGAUUUCUCUUCUUACUAACCCAGCCCUGCCGAGCUCUGGGCUUCCUGGGGGCUGGUCCCUCCUUUUGGCAAGCAGAUGUCCCCAGGCUGUCCAGGCCAGAUCUGAGGCAGGGGACAGCCGUAUUUAGUGACGCCCAGAGGAGGAGGAGGAGGAGGCUGUCCUGUGGACCUGGGACGCUGGGCUCCGAGCAUGACCUCUCUCCUCUGUGCACAAGUCUGGUUGCCACCAGGAGUGGAUGGGACCAGGGGACCUCGUGGGAACCAUUGUGGUGCCCGUGGCUCUAGAAUUGGCAAUUCUGGGCCCUACCUAGCUGGGGCCCUCUGUGAUUUAGGGCAGGGAGAGAGGGGUAGGAACAUCAGGGGCUGGCCAUCUUGUACAGGAGCACAAAGUGUGUGUCUGAACCCAAAGCCCUACCUGGUAGCUAUAAACAUGUUUCCUAAGCAGGAAACAUGUGAAGGGGCCAUUUCCCUGAAACACCACAGCGCAGAGAAGCCCGAGGAGAGAGGGCAUCAGGAAGUUUGUAAGAGGGCCUUUCUCUCAGCCUGAGAAGAGAUGGCUGAUGACCACUAAGAAGGUUCUCCAAAUAGGCGGUCAACUAGCCAGGCCUUUCCCACUGAGAGAGGCGGAAAUCUCAAACUGGAAGUCUAUUUGGGAUUAUUUUUCACACAGGAAGUAGGUGUGAGGAUAUUUUUUUCCCUCAGGAAGUGUUUAGAAACACUCUCCACACUUAGAGAGGACAGGCUGCCAGUUGUCCUGAUGCACAGUCGGGAAGCGUCUCUACGGGCCCUUAGGGCUUAUGGGAGGGGCAAAUGGGUGCCAGGAAGUGAAUCUUAGAAGCCCACAGGCUGAUGGGAAGUCACCCCAGCUCCUUGUUCGGUUUAUAUCCAUGCCCCUGCCCCAGCCAGCCUCCCCCAGAGCCCGCCAGCUGCUAAGCCAGGGCCACACCUGGGGGUGAUUUCAUGCCUCACCUCCAGUAGGCUCAUGGCCUCUCUGGGCUAACCUCUGGCUCUUUUGCACUAACUCUAGCUCUCCCCCAGCUAAUCCCUGCCUUUCCCUGGCUGCCCCAGGGGCUGACCACUAGCAGCCAGCCCCGCCCACCCGCGGGGCUCCAGGCUCCUUUAAACCAACCACCCUUUCCUCUGGACUAAUGUAUGCCUUUCUGGUCUGUUCCUUCCGGCAGAAAUGAAUGGCUGUGGAUUUCUCUCUGACUAACAGGUCUCAUACUCCUCUCCCUGUUACCACUAACGGCUUGGAUGAUGGCGGCGUGGCUGGCGAGGGAUGGGCGGAGGUGCUGAGCUUGGUUGCUAUGGGGAGGAUGUAGCUAGUGAGAGUAGACACGUGACCGGUCUGGGUCAGAACUUCCGAAUGUCAAUCAAAGUGCUAACCGGGCUUGGGUGUGGCUCAGCCCAGAAGAAAGGAUACUGUCUACUGAGCAUUUUGGUGGGACCAGACUUACAGCCAACCUUCCAUGGGUGUGGCCACUGGCUCCAUCCAAUAUAGCCUUACAAUCUACAUUGGCCGUUAGCUCCUGUAAACUACAGCGUCAGUUCUUGCAAGCAGUUCUUAGCUCAUAUAGGAGCCUAAGACACCUGUCUGGUGGGCCCAGUUUGUUACCUAUGGAGUCAUUGAGCACAAGGUCGUGGCCUCACUGGAGUCCUUGUUUAGGAGACUUACGGAGUUUUGGCCCUAUGACAACGUCAAACUCCAGAUAGAAAUACAUUCUCCAUCGCUUACACCCUAGAGUAAAAUAGUUCGACCUUUACCUCCAAGUCUUCUAAAGCCAGAUCUUUUACACAGGGUAGGUGUGCAGAGGGCAGGGAGUGUGGCUGGCAGGGAGUUAGGAACCCUUAAGGCAAGGGGGAAGUCCUCUGGAAGCAGCGGCAGAAAGCCAUGAGGCCAUAGGACCCUUGUGGAGCUGAGGGUGACACCAGAUUGAAGUGGGCAAGAGAAGAGAGCAUGUUUCACUGAGUGAUCUGGAAGCCAGAGCCUAGAAGGCUGGAGGUUCAAGGACAGGCUGCCUGACCUGUUGGUGCUGUGAGAACUGCUUACCCACGGGCUUAGGACUGACUGUAGAGAUGCCAGAGAGUCUACGGAGGGACCUGAGCCACGGAGGAAAUGGAGAGACCCCGUAGGAACGUGGGUUUACCCUCCAGGUACGGCUUGUACGUACUCGCUGCUGCCCUCUCAUGGCCAAUCUUCCACAUUUCACCAACAAUGCCCCGAGAAAGGCUGCAGAGGGGACUCUGCUCCGGAAACUGAGCAGAAGCCUGAUCACAAAAGGCCAGUUUGGGACAGUAGCUGGUCCCUGGUGGCUGUAAUUAUGUGUGGUGGGCCCUGGAUACUGAAGGGGGCAGGGAUCAGGAGAGCUAAGAUGAGGUAGGCAGGGAGGGCACGCUGAAGGGGGAUCAUGCCAGCUAAACCUUGACAGGCAGGGAGGGCAUGGCUGGAACAAGUCACACUCGAUUUAGGGUUAGAGAGCAACCAAACAAGAGUCUGGAAGAUUCAUGGGGAGGUGUAUAAAGUGAGAAGCUCAAUAUGUGACAAGCCCCAGGCCUCAUUGGCUGUAAAAGACAGACUUCAUUCCUUGGGAUACCAGAUAUAGUCUGUAAUUGUAACCCCAGCACUUGCACAAUAGAGACAGAUCUCUGGGGUCUGCCUGCCUGCCAGCCAGCCAGUCUAGCUAGCAUCAUAUGAUCUGAGAGAGAAGGUGGCAGGGCCAGAGUUCUCAGGCUGCCUUGGUCGAGUCAGCCCAGGUGGGGCAGGGAGGAGCUUGCCUUGUGCGCUGGCCACAUUAUAGAAACCACCAGAACUUCUGGUAGCUGGGAAGACACUUCGGUCCAUCUGGAGAGGAGCGAGGGUUCAUAGUGCUCCACCCUUCACUGGGGAUCGUGAGAGAUCCCUGGAAAGUAAGGGACUGAGGGGACAACGAGGAACUUGAAACUUAACACAGGCCCUGGUGGUGUGCACUUCCUCCAGAAGAUCUGGAGAUAGGUGGUGUUGGCAGUGAUGGUGGUGAUGGGGUGUGUGUGUGUGUGUGUGUGUGUGUGUGUGUGUGUGUGUAUGAGAGAGUGAGAGAGACGGUAGAGAAAAGAGAGGCUAUAACUCGAGAAAACGGAGUCCCUGAGGCUCGUUCUAAUCGCCUGCAUCUGGGCUGCCCCUGCCCCCUAAUUCCAUUCAACUUUAGGAUUGUUUGAGCAGGACCCUGUGCGGGCGGGACUGGCCUGUUGUCUGAAGAGCUCAUAGCCUGCUUGGAGGGAGGAGCCUCGGUGGCUCCUCCCCGAGGGUGGGGCUGGAGACAGCGAGGAAAGCCUGGUCCUGUCGUCAGGUUGGGAGCUCUAGUGCAGCCACUCUGAAAUCUGUCUAGGGAACCCAUUGUUUUAUAACCAUCUCAGCAAAGAUGUCUGUUCCAUGUUGUUCCUGCUGGGAGAGACUGAGCGUGGGGCCCUAGAAACCUGAUGUAGAUUAAAAGAUGUAGAUACUUCCAUGGGUCCAGCCACAGUUACGGGCUCUUUUGGUUUUCAUGCUUGUAGCUGCCUCUGUGUAAGAUGCCAUUUUGAUAUUAAAAUCGACACACACUGGA